AGAGUUUGAUCCUGGCUCAGGACGAACGCUGGCGGCGUGCUUAACACAUGCAAGUGGAGCGACGAAGGGGCUUCGGCCCCGGCAAAGCCGCGAACGGGUGAGUAACACGUGGGUUACCUGCCCCGAUGAUUGGGACAACCCGAGGAAACUCGGGCUAAUACCAAAUGUGCUCUUCGGAGGAAAGGAAGCUUCGGCCUCCGCAUCGGGAUGGGCCCGCGGUGCAUUAGCUUGUUGGUAGGGUAAUGGCCUACCAAGGCGACGAUCAGUAGCUGGUCUGAGAGGAUGAUCAGCCACAUUGGGACUGAGACACGGCCCAAACUCCUACGGGAGGCAGCAGUGGGGAAUAUUGGACAAUGGGCGCAAGCCUGAUCCAGCCAUGCCGCGUGAGUGAUGAAGGCCUUAGGGUUGUAAAGCCCUUUCGUCCGGGACGAUAAUGACGGUACCGGAAGAAGAAGCCCCGGCUAACUUCGUGCCAGCAGCCGCGGUAAUACGAAGGGGGCUAGCGUUGUUCGGAAUCACUGGGCGUAAAGGGCGCGUAGGCGGCCUGAUAAGUCGGGGGUGAAAGCCUGUGGCUCAACCACAGAAUUGCCUUCGAUACUGUCGGGCUUGAGACCGGAAGAGGUAAGUGGAACUGCGAGUGUAGAGGUGAAAUUCGUAGAUAUUCGCAAGAACACCAGUGGCGAAGGCGGCUUACUGGUCCGGUUCUGACGCUGAGGCGCGAAAGCGUGGGGAGCAAACAGGAUUAGAUACCCCAGUAGUCC
rnacentral:rRNA from 2 species